rnacentral:rRNA from 1 species
GACGAACGCUGGCGGCGUGCUUAACACAUGCAAGUCGAACGGAAAGGCCCCCACUUUUUUGGUGGGGGUGCUCGAGUGGCGAACGGGUGAGUAACACGUGGGUGAUCUGCCCUGUACUUCGGGAUAAGCUUGGGAAACUGGGUCUAAUACCGGAUAGGACCAUGGUUUAGUGUCUCAUGGUGGAAAAAUUAUUGUUUUGGUGCAGGAUGAGCUCGCGGCCUAUCAGCUUGUUGGUGGGGUAAUGGCCUACCAAGGCGUCGACGGGUAGCCGGCCUGAGAGGGUGGACGGCCACAUUGGGACUGAGAUACGGCCCAGACUCCUACGGGAGGCAGCAGUGGGGAAUAUUGCACAAUGGGCGCAAGCCUGAUGCAGCGACGCCGCGUGGGGGAUGACGGCCUUCGGGUGGGAAACUCCUUUCGUUAGGGACGAAGCCGCACCUUUUUUGGGUGUGGUGACGGUACCUUUGUGAAGAAGCACCGGCUAACUACGUG